rnacentral:rRNA from 1 species
GAUGAACGCUAGCGGCAGGCUUAAUACAUGCAAGUCGAGGGGGCAGCAAUGUCACCGGCGAACGGGUGCGUAACGCGUAUGCAACCUACCUACAUCAGGGGGAUAGCCCUAGGAAACUGGGUUUAACACCGCAUAAUAUAAGCUACGGCAUCGUAACUUAUUGUAAUAUUUAUAGGUUGUAGAUGGGCAUGCGUAGGAUUAGCUAGUUGGUAAGGUAACGGCUUACCAAGGCUACGAUCCUUAGGGGCUCUGAGAGGAGUAUCCCCCACACUGGCACGGAGAUACGGGCCAGACUACUACGGGAGGCAGCAGUAGGGAAAAUUGGGCAAUGGAGGCAACUCUGACCCAGCCAUGCCGCGUGCAGGAAGACGGUCCUCUGGAUUGUAAACUGCUUUUGAAUGGGAAGAAUGUGCUUCUUGCGAGGAGUAAUGACGGUACCAUUAGAAUAAGCCACGGCUAACUACGUGCCAGCAGCCGCCGUAA